UACGAAGGGGGGCUAGCGUUGUUCGGAUUUACUGGGCGUAAAGCGCACGUAGGCGGAUUGUUAAGUCAGGGGUGAAAUCCCGGAGCUCAACUCCGGAACUGCCUUUGAUACUGGCAAUCUUGAGACUGGAAGAGGUUAGUGGAAUUCCCAGUGUAGAGGUGAAAUUCGUAGAUAUUGGGAGGAACACCAGUGGCGAAGGCGGCUCACUGGUCCGGUACUGACGCUGAGGUGCGAAAGCGUGGGGAGCAAACAGG
rnacentral:rRNA from 1 species